rnacentral:misc_RNA from 1 species
GUUUUUGUUUGGUAAAGAUAAGACGACGUAUGAAAUGUUAUUGGAUCGGAAUAAAUUUGAAUUCGAUAUGUCAAAAUUGACGUUUGGGAAGGGGUUAUGGAGGUUGGAAUUGAGUCAUAACAAGAUUUAUGGGAGUAUACCGAAAAUCAUAUCGAAGAAUCCGUGGCAAAUUUUGAACGUGAGUUAUAAUAGACUUUGUGGAAAGAUUCCAAAGGGCGAGAAUAUGCAGAAAUUUGAGAUAUAUGAGUAUUUUCAUAACAAAUGCUUGUGUGGUGCUCCGCUGCCGCCUUGUAAAUGAUCAUCACUAGCGGAUAAU